ACCAGCGGUGACAGCACGUUGAAUGCUCCAGUUCCCCACGGAUCACUGAAGUAACGUUGCGCGUGGUUAGUACUUGGAUGGGUGACCAUCUGGGAAUUCCGCGUGCCGCUGGGU
rnacentral:rRNA from 1 species